CAUGGUGAAACCCGCUCUACACUAAAAAUACAAAAAUUAGCUGGGUGUGUUGGUGGACACCUGUAAUCCCAGCUACUCAGGAGGCUGAGGCAGGAGAAUCGCUUGAACCCGGAAGAUGGAGGUUGUAGUGAGCCAAGAUCACACCCCUUGUACUCCAGUCUGGGCAACAAGAACGAAACUCUGUCUCAAAAAAAUAAAAAAAACAGUACUUAAGAAAUAAUUUUUACAAAAACAUAAAAGGAACAUGUUGGUUUUAUUGGGAAAUUUGUUACAGAAAUAAAGCACAGGAGAAAAUAAGGGAAAAGUCAAAAGCCCAGUAAGGAGACCACGAAAUGUGCACAUGCACCUGUGUUUGAGGGUCAGGUCCAAACUCCAGCUCAGCCACCAGCAUGACCUAGUACUGCUCAUCUGUGCAGCUUCCUGGACACUGUUUUUAAAUCAGAAAGACCUGCCCUAAACCAGUCUGGAGUAAAAACUCUUUUCUCUACUUUAAUAACUUUCUACAUGACAUGAUCAACUUAUACUGAUCCAACCCAAUUCAUUCAGUACCCAUCAUACCAAUCACAUGUAAAUGUUUGUAGGUUUAAACCAGCUACCUUUAGUCAGGAAACUUUCAUUUGGUUACCCUGAUACUCACGCCUUCAUUUCCUUCACAGAAUUAUCAAUCUACUAUAAAGUACUUGGAUAUAUACUAACGUACUCUGCAAACAAAGCAAAAUAUAAUUAUAUACUGACUUGUGACUUGCUUCUAGUAGGUGUGAAGUAUAAUUAAAAUUCAUCAGACUUAAAACAUACAAUUUCUGUACAUAAAAUGAACCCUUUUAGCAAAGCAAUUCUUUUAAAAAAGUUAUCAACUAAAGUAUCCCAUUACUUUUUUUGGAGACAGAGUCUUGCCAUGUCACCCAGGCUGGAGUGCAGUGGCGUGAUCUCAGCUCACUGCAACCUCUACCUCCCAGGUUCAAGCAAUUCUCAUGCCUCAGCCUCCUGAGUAGCUGGGAUUACAGUCAUGAGCCACCAUGCCCUGCCUUCCUUCAAGCAACUUCCUGCUACUAAAACAAAACC
rnacentral:lncRNA from 10 species